rnacentral:rRNA from 1 species
AUUGAACGCUGGCGGCAGGCCUAACACAUGCAAGUCGAACGGUAACAGGAAGAAGCUUGCUUCUUUGCUGCCGAGUGGCGGACGGGUGAGUAAUGUCUGGGAAACUGCCUGAUGGAGGGGGAUAACUACUGGAAACGGUAGCUAAUACCGCAUAACGUCGCAAGACCAAAGAGGGGGACCUUCGGGCCUCUUGCCAUCGGAUGUGCCCAGAUGGGAUUAGCUAGUAGGUGGGGUAACGGCUCACCUAGGCGACGAUCCCUAGCUGGUCUGAGAGGAUGACCAGACACACUGGAACUGAGACACGGUCCAGACUCCUACGGGAGGCAGCAGUGGGGAAUAUUGCACAAUGGGCGCAAGCCUGAUGCAGCCAUGCCGCGUGUAUGAAGAAGGCCUUCGGGCUGUAAAGUACUUUCAGCGGGGAGGAAGGGAGUAAAGUUAAUACCUUUGCUCAUUGACGUUACCCGCAGAAGAAGCACCGGCUAACUCCGUG